CUUCACCGACCCCAACAACAACGGCCGGUCUCCGGGCCGAUCACGACCAUAGGUAGCCAGCAACGCCUGGGCCUC
rnacentral:antisense_RNA from 1 species